rnacentral:tRNA from 1 species
GCCUUCGUAGUGUAAUGACCAGCAGACUCGUCUCGUAAUCGAGAAGUCCGAUGUUCGAGUCCCGGCGAGGGUA